rnacentral:misc_RNA from 1 species
UGCAGCUGCUGGGAGAAAACUAAACGGGAGCUGCUCGCGGGCAGUUCGUCGUUCGUAGCACGGUUGCGAGUUACGAGUAUGAAUGUGUAUGCAACGGUGUAUGUGCGCAUGAAUAGACCGCGCGGGCGCCGCGCGUUCCUACAUGUUGCUCCGGAUUCCUUUUUUUUUUCAAACGUUAAAUGCUAAACGUUGAAAUGAAAAAAACGUGUUUUUUCCUUCAUCUGUUCGUUGCUAUUGGUUUAGUUUCAGCUAUUUUACCCAAUGGUGAUGUUGUCUUAAGAGAAUUGGGUGAAAAGGAGUAUAGAACAAUAAAAGAAAAAGCAACACAUGAAUCCAAUUUUCUUGUACACGGAGCUUGCUGGCACAAUGCUCUCAAAGUACUGGAAUCCAGCUGCGACAGAUUAAAUGACCAUGAACAUUCCCUGUUGGCGCUUCGGCUAGCUAACUGUUUCUUGGAAGAUUCUGGACAUGUCGUUUACAAUUGCCAUCUCAGUGAAUCAGCAAACUCUAGGAGGGAAUGCAUCAACUCCAUGUCCGAUAGAGCUUUUGGAGUGUACAACGAAUUUUACACCCAUUCUGCACAUAUUUGUUUCUUCUUGAACCAUGAAAUGUGGCAAGCAGAAACAGAAAACAACAUUGAACGUUUGUACAAGGCAUCCAUGGUCAUGAGAGAACAGUUACUCGAAGCCACAGAAAUGCAGAGCAUUGUUUUGGAAAGUCAAAGAGAAGGACUGAGGAUACAAAAUGAGCUUCUCGAUCAUGGAAAAGAACUGGGCAAUGUUAUAAGAACUUCUGCUGAAACAGUCAGUGGCAUGGUUGUGGAUUUUAAGGAAUCUGCCAAAGAUCAGAGAGAACUUCUUUACGAAAUAUUUUCAUACAUGAGAACCUUUCAAAAUUGGAUACUCUCGGAAGUGUCAUGGUUUCAGUCUAUAGCUUAUUACACAGUAGCGUGUAUUAUUUGUGCGCUUUUAAGUUCUUCAAAGCGAACUGCAGAAGCUAGAAUAAGUUUAUUUACGAUUUUAAGCUUAAACGUAACUGCAGAAAGAAUGCUCGUUUGUUAUAUUGUGAAUCAUUCCCCAGACGACAAGAUCGAAUUAGUAAACAUGAGUUGGUACUUUCGAAAAAUUGGUUUGGUACUUUGCAUCUUCACACUCGUUUACACAUACUAUUCCUACAAUGAUAACAACUUUGAAAAUUACAAAAUUCUAAGAAGGAUCGACGAUCGACUUAAUCACAUUCAAACAGAAACGACGCAACCCUUAAGAUUUUCCAAAAGAUUGGCUCUUAAGCGAUCCAAAGACAAUAAUCCGGAGCAUUAGAGUCCAUAAUUUAAGUAUUGAGCAAUUCUCAAUAACAAUUUGUACAAUACAACAGAUGUCAGAAGAUUCUUCCUGAAGAAUUACAAGAACAGCACUGUAGAGAAUCAAAAUGCAAAACUUGUCAUUCAACAAUUACAAUGCAUUCCAUGACUUUUAUUUUAUUAUUUAUUUAUUUAUAGAAAUAAACUUCGUGAUAAACGUC